rnacentral:rRNA from 1 species
UACGGAGGGUGCAAGCGUUAUCCGGAUUCACUGGGUUUAAAGGGUGCGUAGGUGGGCAGGUAAGUCAGUGGUGAAAUCUCCGGGCUUAACUCGGAAACUGCCAUUGAUACUAUCUGUCUUGAAUACCGUGGAGGUUAGCGGAAUAUGUCAUGUAGCGGUGAAAUGCUUAGAUAUGACAUAGAACACCAAUUGUGAAGGCAGCUGGCUACACGAAUAUUGACACUGAUGCACGAAAGCGUGGGGAUCAAACAGGA